UAUUGGGUGGUUCUUCAAAAGCUUUUUAUCGGUUAGGCUUCAACUCAUAACUUUUUUCUGGUUUGUCUAAGGAAAAAAUUAAGGGAAAGUAAUAAGGAUGAGACAUGUAAACAGCUGUUUAUUUGUAAGGACUAUAAAGGCCAUUCCUCUUGGGUUAUGUUAUGGAUCACAUUGAAGUCGUGGUCCUUCACUGCAUUGUGCUUGGACCUUUGGUAAAUGUUUCUCAUUCUGUUUCUCCCUUUCAUAUUUGAUUUGAUUUGAUUUUGACAAAUUCAGUUUACCUCUAGUGAUUAAAUGAUCUAUUUUUAUUUUUUAUUUUUUUGGAUCUGCCAAUAAGAGAACUAAGCAAAGAGGAAAAGAGAAAGGAUCAGAGAAUAAAAAAGACCCAAACAGAACAAAGCAAGACUAACACUAAAAAACAAAGGGGACAACACCAUGGCUUCAAAAUUGAUUCAAACAGAAAGCUACGAAGCUGAGUAUCGAAUUGAAGCCUCUCUAAGAGAAGCUUUUUAGCAAAUUGAACUAAGAAUUCCAUUCCUUUUGAAUACUUUAAUAUUAAUUGGGCAAUUGUUUAUGGAAUUUUAUGUGAACCCCCAUUUGGCUGAAGUUCAUAUUAAUCACUUACGUGGCAAAAUAACAGAUGAUGGUUAUAGUUUUUUCAUGAAUACCCUUAUCAUGGUGGUUAACGAUUUGUACCUGAAACUCUUUGGUUUUGUGAACGGUGCAAUCGAUUUGGGUUAAACACUUGCUUCAGGGUUGUCAUUCACAAAAGUAAGUGUUUCCAAAGAAUUGCAGCCGACGCGCAUGGUGCAUUCCUUGAAUAUACCAAAAGAAUCCAGUGUGGAAACUCAAACACCACUACAGGGAGAACCAAGGAUAUCUACAUGCAUGAGCAAUGAUGGAUUGGUCACCUAGGAUUACAUUGAUGGGAAGCUGCCUCACUUUGAAAUGCCCCCAGGAAUGUGAAAUAAUGAAGCUAGCCUAGAGGUUGCAGAUGUACCAAGCUCAUUUGAGAUGCAUGAAUCAGAUUCAUCUGAUACCGAAAACCCUCCAAGCAGUGAAGAUGAAGAAAGCACACCCAAUUUAGAGCAUGUAUUGAAUUAUUUGAAUUCAUUUGACAUGGGUAAUGGAUUACAUUCUAGGAAGGUCCUUGCGACGAAAAAGUGUGAAAAUGCAUCUCAUAAACAGCAUAGGAAGCCUCAGAGGAAAAAAUACCGGUCAUGGAGGGUCGGGGGUGAGGAUGGUGAUGGAAUGCCAGUAGUAAGAGUAUUUCAGAAGCCAGCGAACACGGGUCCUCUUAAAGUUGGAUGGGUCCUCUUAAAGUUGGAUAGGUCCUCUUGUAGCUCAUUGUGGGUGCCACUUUUUACUUGCUGAUCACCAACUGCUACCAGAUCCUCCUUUUUGCUGGUGGCUGAUGGCUGUUGCUUGUUGGUUUGCUCCAGCUGUUGGUCUGCUACUGCCGCUGGUUUGCUGCUGCUGCCGCCCUCGUGGCUGAUGCUUGCUGGGCUGCUACUGUUGCAAUGUUGCUGUGAGGCGGUUGCUAUUAGAUGUUGGUCUGCUGGAUAAGUCUGUCGGUGAUUUUCAUGCCGUUUUGCAUGUCUUUGUUAGUUUCAUGUUUUCAUUUUGUUAUCUGUUGUUUCUAAUGUGGGUUCACAAUU